AGUGAGCGCUGGCGGUAGGCCUAACACAUGCAAGUCGAACGGCGGCACAGAGGAGCUUGCUCCUUGGGUGGCGAGUGGCGGACGGGUGAGGAAUACAUCGGAAUCUACUCUGUCGUGGGGGAUAACGUAGGGAAACUUACGCUAAUACCGCAUACGACCUACGGGUGAAAGCAGGGGACCUUCGGGCCUUGCGCGAUUGAAUGAGCCGAUGUCGGAUUAGCUAGUUGGCGGGGUAAAGGCCCACCAAGGCGACGAUCCGUAGCUGGACUGAGAGGAUGAUCAGCCACACUGGAACUGAGACACGGUCCAGACUCCUACGGGAGGCAGCAGUGGGGAAUAUUGGACAAUGGGCGCAAGCCUGAUCCAGCCAUACCGCGUGGGUGAAGAAGGCCUUCGGGUUGUAAAGCCCUUUUGUUGGGAAAGAAAUCCAGCUGGCUAAUACCCGGUUGGGAUGACGGUACCCAAAGAAUAAGCACCGGCUAACUUCGUGCCAGCCGCCGCAGUAA
rnacentral:rRNA from 1 species